CCGACGACAUCGCAAGAGUCGUACGGUUUGGUGAUAAUGAAUGAAGAUGCUAAACUUAAAAUACUGAAAACGACACCGCUUGGAUCAUGGGACCGAGACGGAGGG
rfam:Desulfosporosinus acidiphilus SJ4, complete genome.